rnacentral:ribozyme from 13 species
UUUUUUUUUUUUUUUUUUUUUUUUUUUUUUUUUUCUCCUUUUUCUCCCUUUUCUUUUUCAAGCCCGUAAAGAUGGCAGAGG